rnacentral:tRNA from 1 species
GCAGUCGUGGCGAAAUUGGUAGACGCACUAGAUUUAGGUUCUAGCGGGUAUUCCCAUGAGAGUUCGAGUCUCUCCGACUGCA